CAGUAGCCACGGUAAUACGUAGGGUGCGAGCGUUAAUCGGAAUUACUGGGCGUAAAGCGUGCGCAGGCGGUUCGUUAAGACAGAUGUGAAAUCCCCGGGCUUAACCUGGGAACUGCAUUUGUGACUGGCAAGCUAGAGUCUCGUAGAGGGGGGUAGAAUUCCAGGUGUAGCGGUGAAAUGCGUAGAGAUCUGGAGGAAUACCGGUGGCGAAGGCGGCCCCCUGGACGAAGACUGACGCUCAGGUACGAAAGCGUGGGGAGCAAACGGGAUUAGAUACCCCAGUAGUCCCUGUCUCUUAUAC
rnacentral:rRNA from 1 species